UACGGAGGAUCCAAGCGUUAUCCGGAUUUAUUGGGUUUAAAGGGUGCGUAGGCGGCCUAUUAAGUCAGGGGUGAAAGACGGUAGCUUAACUAUCGCAGUGCCUUUGAUACUGAUGGGCUUGAAUGUACUUGAGGUAGGCGGAAUGUGACAAGUAGCGGUGAAAUGCAUAGAUAUGUCACAGAACACCAAUUGCGAAGGCAGCUUACUAAAGUAUGAUUGACGCUGAGGCCCGAAAGCGUGGGGAUCAAACAGG
rnacentral:rRNA from 1 species